rnacentral:lncRNA from 1 species
CAGGUGGAUACCAGGUGAAAGAAAACCCCAGCAGAUGUGGGCAGACCAUUGUGGAGGUUGAUGCUGUGGCUAAUCUGGUAGAUCAUGGCGCCUGGACACAUGGCAAUGGUGGAGUAGUGGGCUGAUAAAAAGUAUUGAGAAGACACGGUCUAUAGGACUCGCUGAUGGAUUGGAUCUGAAGACCUAAUUGGAGCCAAGCUGACAAGGGAGUCUGAGAAAUGUGGUUUUCAGAUUUCCAGCCCUGGCGGUGCAGAGAAGAUAUAGAAAAGUGGAUGUGGGAAUGAGCACCAAUAGACAAUAUCUGCUACAUGUAUUCACAUGCAUUGUAACUCUUGGUUGCAUGUAAUAAAACCCAACUUAGGCUGGCACAGUGGCUCAUGCCUGUAAUCCCUGCACUUUGGGAGGCCGAGGCGGGUGUAUCACUUGACGUCAGGAGUUUGAGACCAGCCUGGCCAACACGAUGAAACCUGUCUCUACUAAAAAUACAAAAAACUAGCCAGGUGUAGUGGCAGGCAUCUGUAAUCCCAGCUACUUGGGAGACUGAGGCAGGAGAAUCAGUUGAACCUGGGAGGCAGAGGUUGCAGUGAGCCUAGAUCGCGCCACUGUACUCCAGCCUGGGCGACAGAGCAAG